AGUGCUGGAGCCCCGGUCCACGCACACCUAAAGUAGUCAGCGAGCUCCACAGUCCAAAAGUCCGGCCGGCCUUUCCCCACCCCCGAACAUGGCUGUCGAGCAGAGCCUCCAGUUCUCUCUCUUCUCCCAUUCCCCUGUGGAUCGUUUUCCCCUGUGGAUACGAUGUUCUUUUCUCCCUAGCAAAGUAGAGAAGAGCACUGAGCGUCCCAUCAGAAAUCCUUCAAUGUGCUGUCUGUGCUAUGUGGAUGCGUUCUCCAGCGAACCAUGUUCUUUCUCCAUUUCACAGCUUAGUUUUUGAAAAAACUGAAAAAUUACCAGCAUAUGGAAAUUUUAAGGCAUUCUUUUUAUGAAGAUUAAAAAAACCUUAAGCAUUUAA